rnacentral:tRNA from 1 species
UCCUGGAGGCUCAGAUGGUAAAGAAUCUGCCUCCAAUACAGGAGAUCCAGGUUCAAUUCCUGGGUCAGGAA